GUUAUCGUACAAAAAUGUAUCUCUUAUUGAAAUAUACGAGCUUAAAAUCAGCUAGCGUUGCUUUGCUGAGAGUAUAUCUUCUUGCUAUUAAUUCCUUGUAUCAUUUUGGACUUACAAAUAAACUUGUUAAAAAACAUUCACUGUUUAUUGCUUGAAGAGUUUUCAAAUCUUCUAAAUGUUUUCGGAUCAGGCCUUGUGGUGAAUUUUUAUUAUUAAUAAUAGAUUGGGUAAUCUCGG